rnacentral:lncRNA from 1 species
UCCAUCAUGUUCUUCUUUUCCUGGGGCUCUCCGGUGCGCCCAGUCCCACCAUAAGCUGCAGCAGUAGUUGACGUGUCAUGAGAAUACUGGUCAUCCCUAUUCCCACCUGGCAGCUUCUUCUUGAUCUUGUCCGUCGUACCCUUCUCCUGGUGUUGCUCGCCUACUUUGUAAGUCGUCCCACCACCGUAAGGGGUAGUGGUCUGCGUUCCACCAGAGUACUGGUCAUCCUUGUUACCACCACCUGGUAGCUUCUCCUGGCGUUGCUCUCCUACCUUGUAAGUCGUCCCACCACCGUAAGGGGUAGUGGUCUGCGUUCCACCAGAGUACUGGUCAUCCUUGUUACCACCACCUGGUAGCUUCUCCUUUAUCUUCUCUUUCAGUCCCUUCUUCCUUCUCCCACCUAGCCCAUCAUCUUCAGACGACUACAAUAAUAGAAUGUUAGUUAGACCUGGUUACAAAAAAUAUAUGUAAAUAUAAUGCACAUAUGAUACUUGAAUACAAAGAAAUUGUUCCAUCUAGUAAGAUAAAAUGUUGAUGCAAUAUUUGAAUUUGAAGCAUUGAUUGUGUUGAUAUUCGAAAAACCAAAAUGCGCAGAUACAUAAGUUAUGUGAACAAAAUACGCUAAUUUCCGAAUAGCAUUGUUCGAGAUAAGACAUUUAUACUGUCAAAUAUUGUGUUAUUAAUUUAGAUCACUGAUUAAGUUCACCAUAGUACGCACAGUUUUUCUUGCAAAAGUACUAAAUUGGACAAGCGAAAAUUGUUGCUUGUCUGGUUUUCCUAGUAACAUACGUCUAGGGAAAAGUUUGUUCAUAGUGCCCACAUAUUUGCAGCAUAGCUCAUGCAUUUAAUGAAUUAAGUUGGAACUACAUAUAUAUGGAGGUGAAAAGAGAUGAACUUACAGAGCUAGAGCUUCCUGAGCGCUGAAGCACAGCGGGGCCGCCAUGAUGCCCAACAAUCCCUUCAUCACGAGUCUUAGGAUCAGCAGUCCCGUAGCCGGUAUUAGUCCGACCGUGUUGAACCGCGUUCCCGAACUCGUCGGUCCUAUCGGCUCCUGCGCUACCGUUGUAAGUUGGGUUCCCGAAGUACUCCUCGGUAGUUUUUUCGGCUGUUGUAUUACCAUAAUUCGACAUAUUUCAAAAGAUAAACAAACAAAUGAAACUGUAAUAACAAUGCCUUGCGAAGUUGCGACUAAUAAAACUUCAGUGACAAUACUUAUGAUUUGUUUGGGAUGAUGUGUUUAAUUUGGGUCUGGGUUCGUUGGUUUAUAUAGACAACUGACCUGCACCAGCAGGGCAUGCAAAUAUGGUUGUGAGCGUAAGUGCUUUUUAACAACUUGGAGACGUGGCACUGAGAGGAAAAUGAUGACAGGUGAAAAAUUAACGUCGGCAAGAUAUUUUGUUGCUUUUUGGGUCGGGCAUAUGGAUAAAGAAUGAUAUACAUAUCUGUUCCAUUAGUGACCAUGGAUUUGGUGACACGUGCCCUCCGUACCUGUUCCACUAGCUAGCUCCACGUGGAUACUCUCUUUUGGUUCUAGCCUUCUAGGUCAUAUUGUCUAGUAAUUUCAAAUGAGAAGUGCACUUCAAAAAUUACACUUUACAUUUCUAAUAAAUGUAUUUUUCUUUUUUAAUAUAUAAAGUUUUAAGUUUAGAAUGAGAUUUUUUGAAUGCUAAUAACAAUUCUCUUUCAAAUUUAAUCUAUAGUUUCUCAAGAAGCCUAUAGUCAUAAGACUCAUAACUUAAAGCCAUUACGAGAUGAUUUAGAGAUGAAUUUUAAAUUUAUAUUCUACGUAACAUGUUUUAAGUUCAAUUUCUACGACUGAUAAAUUGUACGAUGAUGAUAAGAGAAAACUAAAUUACCUCUGUAAGCUUUUUUCAUUCUUAAAAAGACAAACUACUGUAGUGAAGUUACCAACCUGUUCGUUUUUAAAAGAAAAAAAAUGCAAACUCACAACUUUGCUGGGAAACUGAGAGCUUUUUGACUAGGUAAUUUGGCAUGUCUGUUGGUGAUAGCCUUCUAGGUCUUCUUGAUCUUACCGACACUAUCCUACGAGUUAUUUUCUCGUUUUAAUUUUUAUUUAGAUUACAAUAUUCACAUACUGUUUUUUACACAAAAAUUAAUUUGAGUAUGAUCCCAUUUUUUUUUUUACAAUAUUCACAUAGUUUUUUUUUUACUUUUCACACAUAUUUCUUAAUUUUCAAUUAUUUAAUUAAAUAAAUUGAAGAAGAUCUAUGACGAAAAAUUAACAAAAGUGUGUUAAUAGAACUUUUCUAACUUAGACAUAUCUCGACAGACUUGGCACCAUUAAAUCUUCUGCUCCACACUAAUUUUAUACACUCCAAAUAAAAGUGAUAUUUUUUACAUAAAAUUAAUUUGAGUGUGAUCACAUUUUUAUGUCAUAUUGAUGUACUAUAUAAUGUAACAAAUGAUGCAGGUAUAUAAUUAGCAUCUAAUGAUAUAAAAUUUAUUAAUUAAUCUUGUUGAUGCACAAAAUCGGUGAGGACUUUGGUACAACAGAAAGUGUUAAGUUUGUGACCUUCGCUAAAUUGCUCUGGUCACUAGUGUGGAUAAGUAUGUAAAUGGAUAGAGACAGGGAAGCAAACAUAAGAUGUACGUGGUUCACCCAGAUUGGCUACGUCCACGAAGUAGAUGAGUUCUCAUUAAUUGUGAAGGGUUUACACAAGUACAUAGGUUCAAGAUCUCCUUUAGUGAGUACUAGUGAAUGAUUUAAUACAAAUUACAUUAGGAAAUAUUGUGAGAGAAUGAUCUUUAUUUAUAGAAGAGAAUUUCUAGUUUCAUUCUGACAUUGACACGUGUCAUGUUGUGAUUGGCUUUUGAUGUUGACACGUAUCACGCUAUGAUUGGCUUCUGAUGUCGACACGUGUCGCGCUGUGAUUGGCCUCCUGGUUGGAGGGAAACUCUUCUGGGUCCUUGACGGUAUAACGUUGAUCGGUGCUCAGUAGUUUCGGGAUUGGUCAAGUGUGGUACAAACAGUGCUCCCCUAAGUUCCCGAGUGAGGGAAGCUCCUCGGUUGGGGACUUGCAAGAUCCAAGCCAUUGAGUAAUCACAAAACUUCUAAGUACCGAAGUGUGGUAUCAUUUUCACUUGCCUUAUCCGUCUCAUACGUAGAUGUGGCAUCUUCUCUGGAAGUACUUUUCCUCCAUCCAGGGGUGGUAUCUUUAACCGAUGAAGAUGCACAAGGUAAUGUAUCAAUUUCACUUGAAGCUUACUUGUAGUUUCGAGCUUGGUCAAGUGCGAUACAAAACCCUAUGGUAGGAGUCCCCCAAGUCGCCAAGCUAAGAGAUUUGCUGAAAGAGGUAACAGACAAGGUAAGCAAUCCGACUUCCAAGCAAGCAACCUGGAUCGGAGGUUCGACUUCGGCUUCCGGUUGAUUUUUCUCCUUCUCCUUGUGUCGUAAACAGCAACAAUGAUAAGGAGAAGCAAAUGGAGAAGAGAUGAUAUAAGAUACUUUUUCUUUUGAAGAAGUAAUUUUCCACAGGCUUAUUCUUAAACUGGGCAUGAGGGUUUUCUGGUUUCCUCCAGAGUAUAAGGCCGACUCAAGAAUUUGAGGGUCAAAACAAAUCCAUCAAAUCAAGAGUGCGUUUGACCUUGAUGAUAUGGGAUACUUUUGUUGUUGACGAAGUAAUAGAUGAAUUAGCAUGUGUUCUAUUGCGAUUGUCUCCAUAUGCUUCCUUGUAUCAUUCUCACUUGCCCUAUUUGUUCCUCAGGCAGAUGUGGUAUCUUUUCUGGAAGCAUAAGAUGUUGAAGAUGAGUACUCGAGAGCAAUGCCAGGUAAGUAAUCAGGCAAGGGGUUCUAGGCAGUCAGUUCCUGACUGGAAGCUUGAUUCCAAGUGCUGAUUGAUUGCUUUCUUUCUUCUUGUCUUGCAGUUAAGAACAAUGGCAAAGGAAAAGACAGGGAAAAGGCAUGAUAUGGGAUACUCUUGCUUUUGACCCUGAUGAUAUAAGAUACUCUUGCUCUGGUGUGGCUGGUUUGCAUAGGUAUUAUUGGGGGAGGAAGAAAGCUGAGUAUUUCGAGAGGCUUCGUUGGGAAUGCCCUAUCAGAUAUGAGGAAAAGUUAAGCAUUUUUGCAGGUCUGCCUAUCCGUGGAGGAUGGAGUUCGACAUAUAUAGGAGUCUCCCUAACAACAAGUAGUAAUGUUAUUCCUUUACCCUUCUUGGUCGUAGCAAUGUAAUGGGAGCUGCAAGCUUCACGUGUUUUAACUUUGUUAGAGCACUUUGAAAAAGUGGUAUGUGGUAUUUAGAAAGCUGAUGUUGCGUGUGAAGAUUGCAGACAAGCUUUAUCCAAGGAAAUCUGGCUCUCGAAGUUCGGAGAGCGAUGUCUCUUUGGUUUUCGAACAAGCAAUCCUGUCAGGGAUUUGGCUCUCGAGAUUUGGAGAGUGGUACCUCUUCGAUUUUUGAGAAAGUAAUCCUGUUGGGAGUCUGGCUCUUGAGAUUCGGAGAGCGGUGCCUCUUCGAUUUUUGAGAAAAUAAUCUUGUUGGGAGUCUGGCUCUCGAAAUUCGAAGGGCGGUGCCUCUUCGAUAGCAAGUAAUAAUGUUAUUCCUUUACCCUUCUUGGUCAUAGCAAUGUAGUGGGAGCUGCAAACUUCACAUGUUUUAACUUUGUCAGAGCGCUUUGAAAAAGUGGUCUGUGGUAUCUGGAAAGCUGAUGUUGCGUGUGAAGAUUGCAGACAAGCUUUAUCCAAGGAAAUCUAGCUCUCAAAGUUCGGAGAGCGGUGCAUCUUUGGUUUUCGAAUAAGCAAUCCUGUCGGGGAUCUGGCUUUCAAGAUUCAGAGAACGGUGCCUCUUCGAUUUUUGAGAAAGCAAUCCUGUUGGGAGUCUGACUCUUGAGAUUCGGAGAGCAGUGUCUCUUCGAUUUUUAAGAAAGUAAUCUUGUUAGGAGUCUGGUUCUCGAGAUUCGGAGAGUGGUUCCUCUUCAAUUUUUGAGCAAGCAAUCUUGUUGGUAGUGUUUUCUCGAAUGUGAGUAAAGGUUGGGCAUUUUUGCCAGUCUGUCUUUCCACAGAGCACGGAGGUUGACACACAUUGAGACUUUCUAGUUAUUAAGCAAUGGUGCUGUUCCUUUACCCUUGUGGGUAAUAGUAGCGUAGCUAGACCUUCAAAAUUUAUGUGUCUAAACUUUUUCAGAGAUCUUUGGCAAAGUUAUUUGUGGUGCCUGAGGAGCUGAUGUUGCAUGUGGAAAGUGGUGCUUCUUCGGAAUCUGGAAAGUGGUGCAUCUUCGAUUUUUGAACCAACAGCCAUGUUGCUCUUUUUUUUAUAAGGGCACCAAUUGUGUGCAAGGAGUACAUUCAGAGAGUUAUUGCUUGUAGGAAUUUUCCCCUUACUUCAGAGAUUUAUUGCACCUCAUUUCUCCUUCAUCAUUUCUGAGAAUGUCUGGCCCAUCCGACCGUCGUUUUGACUUGAACUUUGGUGAAGAGGCAGCCAUGCCUUCUCAAGACAACAUACGACACCCAUCCUUCUUAUCUCCUACUGGUCCUCUUACCGUUUGGAACUCUGUGAUGAAGAAUGAUAUGACCGCUGCGGUGGUGGCCAAAAACCUUCUCACUCCCAAAGAUAACAGACUAUUUUCCAAAUGGUCUGAUGAGUUGGCUGUUAAGGAUUCUUUGGCUCUCAGUGUUCAGUGUGCAAGUUCUGUGUCUAAUAUGGCCCAACGCCUAUGUGCUCGAACCCGCCAAGUUGAAUCAUUGGCGGCUGAAGUGAUAAGUCUCAAAUAGAAGAUCAGAGGGCUCAAGCAUGAGAAUAAACAGUUGCACAUGCUCGCACAUGGCUAUGCUACAAACAUGAAAAGGAAGCUCGACCAGCUGCAGGAAUCUGAUUAUUAGAUUUUACUUGAUCAUCAGAGGUUUGUGGGUUUGUUCUAAAGGCAUUUAUUACCUUCGUCUUCUGGGGCUGUACCGCGUAAUGAAGCUCCAAAUCAACCUUCGGUGCCUCCUCCUUCUGGGGUUUUGCCUAGUACUGAGGCUCCGAAUAAUCACCCUCUAGUGCCUCCUCUUUUUGGGGCUCUGCUGACUGCUGAGACUUCUCCUAAGCAACCUUUGUGAAGGCUCCCUCUUGUUUGUUUAUUUUGAUUCAUGUCUAUGUACAUAUUUGUAACUUAUUGGAGAUAUCAAUAAACAAGCUUUGCUUCAUUUCAACGUAUUGUGUUAAAUACACCAAGACCUUCUUCACUAAGUUUCUUGAAUUUUUCCUUUUGUUGAAGCUUGUAUGUUGAAGCUUUGUGAGUGAAGCAUGUAGGUUGAGGUAAUGCUCCCUCCCUUAAUUUCCUAAGUGAGGAAAACUUCUCGGUUGGAGACUUGAAAAAAUCCAAGUCACUGAGUGGUCGUGAGACUUCCGAGUAUCAAGGUGCAGUAGCAUAUGGUAGGAGUCCCCGAAGUCUCUGGUUGAGGGAGUUGACGAAGGAGGUGUCUUGCUAGUAGCCAAGUUUCCAAAGUAACAAAACUUCACAAUUUUCCUUUCUAAGUGGUAGCCCAAAACUCUUUUUUCAUAUAUAUUUGUUAUAAAAGUUGUUAGGCCCAAAGAAGAGGAGGCCUAGGCUUUUUUAUUUUUUUUUCAAUUUUUUUUUGUUUUAAAUUUUCGAAUUUUUGAAUUUCCGAAUAUAUAUAUAUAUAUAUAUAUAUAUAUAUAUAUAUAUAUAUAUAUUUUAAGCUUUAUAGGUGAAGCUUUGUGGGUGAAGCUUUGAGGUUGAAGCUUUGUUGGGUACCAUGAAUUGAUUUUGCUUCACACUAUCUUGAUCAAGAUAGUGUGAAGUUUUUGUAGGUGAAGCUUUUGUGUUGAUGCUUUGUAGGUGAAGUUUUUGUGGUGGGUGAAACUUUUGUUGGUGAAGUUUUUAUGGGUAAAGCUUUUUGUGAUGGGUGAAACUUUUGUUGCUGAAGCUUUUAUGGGUGAAGCUUUUGUGGUGGGGGAAGUUUUUGUGGUGGGGGAAGCUUUUGUGGGUGAAGCAUUUGUUGGUGAAGCUUUUAUGGGUGAAGCUUUUGUAGGUGAAGCUUUUGUGGUGGGUGAAGCUUUUGGAGGUGAAGCUUUUGGGGGUGAAGCUUUUGUGGUGGGUGAAGCUGUUGUGGGUGAAGAUUUUGUUGGUGAAGCUUUUAUGGGUGAAGCUAUUGUGGGUGAAGCUUUUAUGGGUGAAGCUAUUGUGGGUGAAGCUUUUAUGUUGAAGUUUUGUGGGUAAAGCUUUUGUGUUGAAGCUUUGUAGGUGAAACUUUGGAGUUAAAGCUUUGUAGGUGAAGGUUUUUUUUUGAAGCUUUUGUAGGUUGAGCUUUGGAGUUGAAGCUUUGUAGGUGAAGCUUUGGAGUUGAAGCUUUUGUUGGGUACCAUGAAUUGAUUUUACUUCACACUAUCUUGAUCAAGAUAGUGUAAAGCUUUUGUUGGUGAAGCUUUUGUAGGUGAAGCUUUAGAGUUGAAGCUUUUGUUGGGUACCAUGAAUUGAUUUUGCUUCACACUAUCUUGAUCAAGAUAGUGUGAAGCUUUUUUUGGUGAAGCUUUUGUUGGUGAAGCUUUUGUAGGUGAAGCUUUUGUUGGUGAAGCUUUGAAGUUGAAGCUUUGUAGGUGAAGCUUUGGAGUUGAAGCUUUUGUUGGGUACCAUGAAUUGAUUUUGCUUCACACUAUCUUGAUCAAGAUAGUGUGAAGCUUUUGAGAAUUUAUAGUUGUCCUCCAUUGAUGAAGCUUUUGUUGGUGAAGCUUUUGGAGUUGAAGCUUUUGUUGGGUACCAUGAAUUGAUUUUGCUUCACACUAUCUUGAUUAAGAUAGUGUGAAGCUUUUGAGAAUUUCUAGUUGUCUUCCAUUGAUGAAGCUUUUGUUGAUGAAGUUUUUGUGGUGAAGCUUUGUUGGGUACCAUGAAUUGAUUUUGCUUCACACUAUCUUGAUCAAGAUAGUGUGAAGACUUUUGAGAAUUUGUAGUUGUUCUCUAUUGAUGAAGCUUUGUUGAAUUUCCUUUUUUUUUUUUUUUUUUUUUUUGGGAAACUAGAAAUUUGAAAAUUUGGGAGAGACAAUAUAUACAAAUUUUGCUUCCACACUGUUGAGUAAGAGAUUGUGAUGCAAGCCACACCUUGUAGUAGUCGAAGGUUUGGAUGAACCAUAUAAAUUGAAUUUGCUUCGAAGGUUUAAGAAUUGUAGUUGCCCUCUAUUGAUGAAGCUUUUGUUGGCACCACAAAUUGGUUUUGCUUCACACUAUCUUAAUUAAGAGUGUGUGAAGCUUUUGAGAAUUGUGGUUGUCCUCCAUUGAUGAAGCUCUUGUUGGCACCAUAAAUUGGUUUUGCUUCACAUUGUCUUGAUCAAGAGUGUGUGAAGCUUUUGAGAAUUGUGAUUGAACUCCUUUGAUGAAGCUUUUGUUGGCACCAUAAAUUGGUUUUGCUUCACACUGUCUUGAUCAAGAGUAUGUAAAGCUUUUGAGAAUUGUGGUUGCCCUACAUUGAUGAAACUCUUGUUGGCACCAUAAAUUGAUUUUGCUUCACACUGUCUUGAUCAAGAGUGUGAAGCUUUCUACGAGUUGUAGUGUUUGGAUUGUUACAGAGGGGAAAUGUCUGAAGCAGAUGCAAGAGAGCUGAAUAGCUUGAUCUUCGUAUGCCAUGCACUGAAGUUGUUGUUGACUUGUAAUAAGACUUUGUUGGUGACUAUAACUCUUGUUGGGCAUAAGUGCUCCCCUAGUUAAGUUGUCAAGCUUGAGGGUUUUUUAUUAUUUGUGAAUGCUAAGAGUUCACAUGUAUAAGUUAUACCACACAUCUUCUAGUAGGUGGAAUGAAUGGUGAGUUGCUUUCAUCACUUGGUUGGUGGUACGAAGGUGAGUUCCUUCAUCACCUUUCAUCACAUUUCAUCACCUGGUUGGUGGAACGAGGAUGAGUUCCUUCUUCACCUGGUUAGUGGCAUGAAUGGUAAGUUGCCAAAUGAUAUUAGAGUACGGGUUGUACAUAUCACAUGGUUGGUGGCAUGAAGAUGAGUUCCUUCUUCACCUAGUUGGUGGCAUGAGUGGUAAGUUGCCAAAUGAUAUUAUAGUACUGGUUGUACAUUUCAUCACCUGGUUGGUGGCAUGAAGAUGAGUUCCUUCUUCAUAUUUCAUCACCUGGUUGGUGAGAAUAAGGGCAAGGUGUCGAGGCACAUUGUAGCAAGUGUCAAGGACACAAAGUAUGUUGAACCCUUUCGAAGCACAGUUGGCUUAUGUAUGGAUGUGUUGGAAUGUAUAAUAUUUAUGUUGAUUGAUAUAAGUGAUGCUUAUGAAUGUUUUGCUAUGCAUGAAGGGAUUCAUGCUUUUGAUAUGUGAACCAUGUUGGUUGUAACACUUAGUAUCACAUACUUUGUGUCAAAGUACGCAUGUUGAAGCUCUGAGUUUGAGUAUAAGGGUAGGUCAGCAUAGACCCAGUGUUCCAGUGCUAGGAACGCAAAAGACUCAGAAGAAGUUCUCUGAAUUCCCUCUUCUUUAAAUAUUUUCCGAAUGACUUGUGUGACAAAAGAUCUCAAGCGGUUGAGGGUUAAAACAUUUGUAACGUGUAUGCCUUCUUAUAAUAGCAUUUCCUUCAGUACUUAGUCAUCCACUUUGAAAGAGUAAGGCUGACCCUAUAGUCAUAAUAGUCGACAGUACGUUCACCCCUGGUUGUCUUGAUACAAACUUUUAUCCUUCUUGUUGUAAUGGGCUUGCUGAAAGUAAAAUCAUUUCUCUUACCAAGAGACAGAUACGUUUGGUGACUUAGCAAGUAGCUAAAUAAGGCAAGAGAUGAUACAAUGGGUGUCUGAAUGGCCAAUAUCUCAUCACUUGGUAUAACUUGACUUCCACUUCCCAUUUGUUAAUAGGGGUUAACCAUAUGGGGCUUCCCUUGGUAUGUCCUUGCUUCGGUGGAGGCGUGGUUGUAAGCAUGUGUCAUCACCUCAGAGUAAGUCUUCCAAGUGUUGGCAUUGAUCAUGUACUUGAAGAAACAAUCACGUAGGCCUGCCGUGAAGGCCUUGAAGGCGAUCUUGUCAUCUGCCUCAGCGCAUCGAGAAUACUCAUGGCUGAAGCGACCGACAUACUCUUGUAGUGACUCGUCCGGCUUCUGGCAAAUAGUGUACAAGUCAUCUACAGAAUGUAAGUGAUCGGUCUAGAAGAUGUAUUGAGAGGCAAACAGUUUCCUCAAUUCCUCAAAUGAGUCUACUGUCUCAGGUAGAAGACGGCAAUACUAGUUUAGAGCUCCGCCAGAGAGGGUGGAGGGGAAGAGAAGACGUCGCUUUUCGUCGGUGUGUAUCCGAUAUGUCAUGGUGGACUCAAAGAGGUUAAGGUGUUUAAUUGGGUCAUCCCUUCCAGUAUAGAGUUGUAAACCAAGCUUUUGUUUUGUCUUUGCUUGAAUGGGGUGUCGAGGAUCUUUCUUGUGAGAGGGCCAUGCCGGGGUUGGUUCCAGUCAGGUAUCUUGGCCUGACGUUCGGCCUUCAACUUGUUUACUUCCUCAAUGAGCUUUAGGACAAGGGGGUCAUGAGUGGAGUUAUGUACCACUGGAAUUUUCUUUCGUAAGUCUCAAUCGCCUCUUGGAAGUAAGAAAGUUUGAGCAUGGGCAUGUGGUUUUUUCUUCGACUCGCCGUACUGACUUAUAUGGCGAGUAUAUCGGAAUACCUCAGAGUCCCCCGUACUUUCAUGCUUCUCUGGGACCUGUUGUUCCUUCCCUACAUUGGCAGCUGGCCUAGGUUAUGGGAGGGGACCGAAUCUUUCAGAAACCCUUGGGUCAUUGAUCUUCGAGCAUAUGUGGAAGGGAUUCUCUCGACGUUGCUUUAGGAAGUCUCGGUAGUCACGAUAAACGGCUUUCGAUCCUUCCAACCUUUCUGCAAGGAGGUGUCUUCUUCCACUUCUUUUACUUCGGGUCGAAACAUCUGGGUUGAGAGAAAUCUCAUGUUGAUCAAUGUUUUGAUGAUUAGCUCGCUCCUCAUCAGGGAUACCCAUGUCGAAUGGAGGUGACCCUCUGUGUUGAGGGGCACCCAGAUGAUGGUUAAUGUCCACAAGGACAACGAGCUCGCAUGUUUGAGUACACCUAGUUUCAUGGAGCAUCUCAAAGAGCUUCUCAUACUGCUCCUAGAGGACCUCAUUCUUCAUUGCUAUCUUGUUGUUCUGAGCUUCUAGCUUAUCAACUUUAGCUUGAAGAGCAACCUAUUUCCUUCGUUCUUUCGUUGCUUCACACUAGAUGCAAGAGAGGUGUCAUUCUGUGUGCUGUGGCUUCCUUCGCUCUACAUGUUGGAAAUGGAUGCCUGGUCAAAAAAGAGUGUAUGAAUGGUGGAAACCAGCUUGGCAAAGCUGAAGAGAGUGGGAAUAAGUGUCUUUCCCACAGACGGCGCCAAAUGUUGAUGCACAAAUUCGGUGAGGACUUUGGUACAACAGAAAGUGUUAAGUUUGUGACCUUCGCUAGAUUACUCCGGUCACUAGUGUGGAUAAGUAUGUAAAUGAAUAGAAAUAAGGAAGCAAACACAAGAUGUACGUGGUUCACCCAGAUUGGCUACGUCCACGGAGCAGAUGAGUUCUCAUUAAUUAUGAAGGGUUUACACAAGUACAUAGGUUCAAGCUCUCAUUUAGUGAGUACUGGUGAAUGAUUUAGUACAAAUGACAUUAGGAAAUAUUGUGAGAGAAUGAUCUUUAUUUAUAGAAUAGAGUUUCUAGUUUCAUUCUGACAUUGACACGUGUUGUAUUGUGAUUGGCUUCUGAUGUUGACACGUGUCACGCUAUGAUUGGCUUCUGAUGUCGACAUGUGUCGCGCUGUGAUUGGCCUCCUGGUUGAAGGGAAACUCUUUUGGGUCCUUAACAGUAUAACGUUGAUCGGUGCUCAGUAGUUUCGGGAUUAGUCAAGUAUGGUACAAACAAAUCUAAUAUGUAUAAUUUGUCACAUCAAGUGAUACAUAAAAAAUGGUGCAAAAAUUUCUCAACAUUUUCUUUGACAUAAAUGUGUUCAAAUAGUAUUAUUUUCAAGCACAUCAGUAUUCAUUCAAAAGUAGCUCGUCCUUUUUUUAUUUGCUAUUUUUGUUUUGAAUAUACCCUCCUUCCAUUUUCACUAUAUAUAUUAUUUAUUUUUUAGAAAAAAAGGAGACAAUUGGUGGUAAGUCAUUUUAUCUACUCCUUUUGAGUCCGAAAAGACUAUGGAAAUUUUCACUCUGCUCGUGACUACAGUCAAACAAACUACUCAGUUCAGAGCAUCGAACUCAGGACCUUCCAUAUUUUUUUGUUUUUUGGGGAGCUGCAAUCUAUGCCCUUACCACUGAGUCACUUGCUGUGGUUUUCCAUUUUCACUAUCUACUCUCUACGUUUAAGUGUGGAUUACAGAGUCCUCAGCGAAUUAGAGUUAACUAAUUCAAAAUUAUUUUAGUCAUUAUUGCAGGUAUAUAAGAUUGUACUUUUUAAUUGUAAUUAGUGUAAGAUUCUUAUUUAAAUAGGAUUAAUAUAACCAUUUAUCCACCCUUGGACUUCGUCGGACAAUGAUCAUACUCCACUAGCUAGUUCAAUGGAGGCGUUGUACAAUUAAAGAAUUGGGUGUUUAUUUAACUUAACUUUUUGAUUAAUGAGAUUACAAAUCAAACAACGCUUAAACAGAAACCAGAGUUUUAUUGCUCUAUUUGCACAUUUGUCUUAUUUAAUUUGUUCAAUUCUAUUGAUUCCUUUGAUUCAACGUGAUCUAAUCUGGAGUUUAAUUAUCUCAAUUUGUUCAUUUAUCUUGGAUUAAUUAUUUUUACUUGACUAAUUGUUGGAUUGGUUGGUUGUUGAUAUGGGAAGGUGUUGCAUGGACGAAGGAGAAGGACAAGCUGUUCUUGGUGGAUUAACUCUAUAAUCAUUUGAUCAUAUGAAAACAUGGGAUCCUCACAACAGCCAGUUUUCUCCCAGGAAGCGUCGCUCUCUCAUUCUACAACCCAUUUCGCAUUCUCCUCAUUUUUAGAAUGUAAAACCAUUCGUGCGACUCUAGAAAUCCAGAGGAGGUAGAAGGCGACAUGCACGAGAGAUUUUUCAGUGUAACCGUCACACGAGAUGGUACACCAUGUGUCGUUAUAUAAAUGGUGGGAUAUGUGUGUUAAAAAGUUAAUAACUUAAAAAAUAAAUUUUUUUACCAUUUACAUAAAAACACGUGGUGUACCACUCGUGUUCCUGCCACAACUAAAAAUCUAGCACUUUAGGGGGGAAAACUGAUCUCGCUUCUCCAAAGAAAGAUUAAUCCGAUAACGAUUCCAUGCACUAGAGAGUUGAUAGGGCCGUUUCAGUGGCCAGAAAAAGAAAACAAAGAAGUAAGAGAUGGAUUUCCAUUGCAGAAAAUAUUUGACUUGAUGGGUACACUUAAAUAAUUUUGCAGGCCACAUACCACAAGGGAUAAGAUGCAUCAGUUUUCCACCCGACUACUUUUUGAGAAGAAUGUUUCAGCCAGGAAGAUUUUCUAUCUUCUUCAACAACACAACCAAUGCAGACGUGAGUGGUAAGAUGUCGUACAAAGACAUGGUUUUUCUCCAUACUCUUAUGUAUUCCUCGGUUUGUUAGAAACAUCAGCCAAAAACACUCUUAAUCUUCGAUUAAUAAUUUAAUAUUACUGUCCCCCCCUUUGCCCAAAAGCACUUAUGGCCCAAGCAAUCAUUUUUUUCUUCUAUUCAAUAUCUAUCUUACAUGAUUACUAUAAUCUUGUGUAUUUUGGAUUGUGAAGGUUCAUAUUAUAUAACUCAAUCAUAAGAAGGUCGACUUCAUUUUACAUUUGUAAUCAGUUUCAUUUUCUCCCCAGUUGCGCAAGAUUUUACCAUAUAAUUGAUUGUUGCUUAUCUAUAUAUUGAAGAUUCGGAUAGACGCCAAAGACUUUAUAUAUGUUUAGAAGAGAAUGAUUUUGUUUGGAAUGAAUGUGUCUUUAGUCAUCUCUCACGGAUGGAUUUAUAAGAUGUUACAAUCCUAUCAUUAAGGAAAGAAAUAAUUUACAUAAAAUCAUAAUAAACUAAGAAUCCCAAGAUUACAUGAAUAUAUACACAAAAGUCAACAUUCCCCCUCAAGUUGGUGCAUAUAUAUCACACAUGCCCAACUUGUGUAAGAAAAUUGAAAAUUUAUGACUUGAAACAGCCUUUGUGAGAAUAUCUGCUAACUGAUGGUCUGUUCUUAUUGUCGGUACCUCAAUUAUCUUCCUUUCUAAUUUUUCUUUGAUAAAGAAUCGAUCAACUUCAACAUGCUUUGUUUUAUCAUGUUGUACCAGGUUAUGUGCAAUGUCACAGGCAGUUUUGUUAUCACAAAAUAAUUUCAUAGGUUGAUCAUGUUCCAUACCCAUAUCUCUUAACAAAAGCUUAAGCCACAAAAUUUCACAAAUCUCCAAGGCCAUACCUAUGUAUUCAUCUUCUGCACUGGAACAGACAACCACAUUUUGUUUCUUACUCCUCUAUGUAACCAAGUUACCCCCAACUAAUGUAAAGUAACCUAAUGUUGAGCGUCUGUCAUCCACUAAACCUACCCAAUCUGCAUCAGUAUAACCUUCAAUUCUAAGAUUCUUAUUCUUUUUAAAUAAAUUUUCUUUUCCUGGACUUCCGUUCAAAUACCGCAAGAUUCUCAUCACUGCGUUCAUAUGUUGUUCUCCAAGAUCAUGCAUGUAUUGACUCACUACACUUAAGGCAUAGGCAAGGUCCGGUCUUGUAUGUGCCAAGUACAUUAAAUGUCAUACUAACCUUUGGUAUCUUCCUUUGUCUAAUGGCACUUGAUUAGGAUCAACGCUAAGCUUUAAUCCUUCCUCUAAUGGUGUAGUUACCAGUUGGCAAGCUGACAUGCCGAUUUCGUGCAACAAAUCAAUAAUAUACUUCCUCUGAGACAAGAAAAUUCCAGAAGUACUUCUCGACACUUCAAUCCCUAGAAAAUAUUUUAGGGAUCCAAGGUCCUUCAUCUCAAAUUCUUUAAACAUGUAUCUUUGCAAGGCCGUACGUUCUUCCGGAUAUUUUCAUGUUAUCACCAUAUCAUUUACAUACACAAUGAGUGCAGUAAGCCUCCCAUUUUUCCUUUUCAAAAAUAGAGUAUGAUCAAAGUUACUUUGUCUAUAACCAAACGCUCUCAUAGAUUUUGUGAAUCUUCCAAACUAUGCUCGAGGAGACUGUUUCAAACCAUACAAGGAUUUCUUCAACCUGCACACCUUUCUCUUGUAAUUAUUUGGAGCAUUACAUUCUGGUGGAAGAUCCAUAUAAAUCUCUUCUGUCAAAUCUCCAUGCAAGAAGACAUUUUUCACAUCGAACUGCUGUAAAGGCCAAUUAAGAUUUGCAGCCAAGGACAACAAAACACGGAUUGUGUUGAUUUUGGUCACAUGAGCAAAAAUAUCUGUAUAAUCGAUUCCAUAUUUUUAAAUGUACCUUUUUGCUACCAGUCUUGCCUUGAAGCGAUCUCCCGUCCCAUCAGCUUUGUAUUUUACAAUAUAGACUCAUUUGCAUCCCAUAGGUUUUUUACCAGCUGGCAAGUCUGUGAUCUCCCAGGUAACAUUCUUCUUUAAAGACUUCAAUUCUUCAUCCAUUACUGCUUGCCAACGUGGAUCAGCUAAAGCCUUCUGCACAAUGUUAGGAAUAGAUAUAGUAGAUAAUUGAUAUACAAAUGACUUACUUGAGUCUGACAUGUGGCUGGUAGACACAACAUUACUUAACGGGUAUAACACAUUAGAUUUUGGGUUUGGUCUAUUAAUUAGGUACCUAGUUUUGCAUUUAAGGUCUGCUUCGCAAGUAAGUUUAGGAAUACCUUGGUUGACACAGUUAGGGAGACAACAUGGUGGUGGUGUAUCCGGGAGCGAAGAUAAUUGAUUAUGGAUAUUAGGGCUCAAAGGUGGUGAGACCGAUUGUGAGAUAGCAGGCAUCACUGAGUUGUUCAAUGGUGAGGAAGUUGGCAAAGAGUUGUCCAAUGGUGAAGAAGGUACAACAUUUUCCAGCUGUGUCGGUUCGUCCCUUUCGAAGUUUUCAACAUUGUUUUCAUGUGAAUGAUCACCACUUAACUCCAAGACAUCACCACCUAAUUCCAAGUUAUUCACAUCAUUAUUUUCUUGUGAAUCAUCACCACUUGUCCAAGACAUCACCGCUUAAAUCCAAAUGAUUCACAAUAUUAUUUUCUUGUGAAUCAUCACCACUUGUCUCCAAUAUAUCACCAUUUAAAUCCAAAUGAUUCACAAUUUCUAUAUCAGGAAUAGUAUAAUCAAGAGUUUGAACUUCUACUUGAUUCUGUCCAUGAAGUCCAGACUCGGAAUGGACAAAGUACAUAUCGUUUUCAUGAAAUACAACAUCCACAGUGACAAACAACUUAGUCGGAGGGUGAUAGUAGCGAUAUCCUUUUUUAUUUGAGGCAUAACCCACAAACAUACACAGUAAGGCUUGAGGUUCAAGCUUACUCAUCUGUUGUUUAUUGUGAUGAACGAAGGCCACACAGCUAAACGCAUAAGGUGGAAGAUUUGGUACUACAUGAGCAUCAACAUGUGAAGAGAGAACCUGAAGUGGUGUUUGAAAAUCAACUGACCGGGAUGGAACAUGAUUAAUGAGAUACACAUAUGAGGUGAGAACUUCUCCCCAAUAUGACAACGGGAGACAUGCCUCGAGUAAGGAAGCAUGAACAAACUUCAGAAGGUGACGGUUCUUAUGUUCUACAACUCCAUUUUGUUGUGAAGUAUAUGGACACAUAGUUUGAUGAACGAUACCCUAAUGUUCCCAAAAGGCACAAAGUUCAGACUUCACAUACUCGCCACCAUUAUCACUUCUGAGAACCUAUAUUCGUGACUUAUAUUGCACUUGCACCAUUUUGUGAAAUUGCUUGAACAAGGAAGUAACUUCACUUUUGGACUUCAUCAAACAAACCCAAGUCAUACAUGUGCAAUCAUCAAUAAAAGUAACAAACCAAUAACCACCACCAAAUGUAGCAGUUUUAGAUGGUCCCCAAACAUCAAAAUGGAUUAUCAUAAAUGGAACAUAACUUUUUGUCAAACUGGGCGAAAACGAAGUACGAUGACUUUUAGCCAAUUCACAAACACCACAUUUAAAGCUAGAAACAUCAUUCUUAAGAAAUAUUUUAGGAAACAGCUUUCGUAAAUAACCGAAAGAAGCAUGUCCAAGUCUAUGAUGCCACAACCAAACCUUCAAAGCUUUGUUCUGCUCCCCUUGAGGUCCUUCCACAGUAAUAGCUUGUGUCAACAUCUGGGUACUGUUCGAUGUUAUCUCCAAGUAGUAAAGUUUCCCCUUCUAAUACCAUAACCAAUCGUCUUGCGAGUCCGAAUAUCCUUAAAGACACAAAAGGAAUGCCAAAAACUCACAAGACAAUAUAGGGCGACGGUUAUUUGAGAAAUAGAUAAUAAAUUAUAAUCAAGAGAAUGAACAACAAGCACGGUAUCAAGACUAAGGGUAUCUGAAAGGGAGACAGUUCAUUCCCCGAUAAUAGGGGCAAGAUUACAGUUGGUGACACUCACGAUAGUUUUGGUGGAUGGUUUUAAGGUUUGUACCUGUCUAGAAUCACAAGUCAUAUGUUCAGUACCACCAAAAUCAAUUAUCCACGUAUUAUUUGUAACAGAGGCAGAAACCUUUAAAGUCGUGAUUCCAAUUUCGCCCAAAGUUCUCGAGCAAAAGUCACGCCAACCGUGAAAGGAAUUAAUGAUUUAUAAAGAGUUGAAUUAAUCCAGAUAAGAAUGUUUUAAUCAUUCUCAAACCAAGUGACAUAGGCUGGAUUGAGAGUUGCAAUCUGAUUCCCUAACAAAUCAAGAAGAAAUUUGGGCACUGCCGCCAUAGUUCUAUCAAUUAGACUAGUGAGUUUGUAACAACGGAAGAUCGGAGCAAACAAAGCGUUCCAUGUCAGAUAAUUUGUAGUAGUGAGCUUGAUCGGAACCAUGGAUCCAAUAUUUUGGAUUGUAAUGGAAGAAGAAAUUGCAGAGUUAUGGUUUGGAAUUACAUUAGGAAACGAAGGAACAGGAGAAUCCGAUUUCGAAGAAGGAGAUGCAGAGGUCUCCAUAACUGUAGGUUGAAGAAGAAAGCAUGGUCAAGAUCAAGAAAUCGAUCAAUUGAUUGGAGAAGACGAAGAAAAUUAGGCGGUGCAGAGAGAAGCGGGAAAAUUGGAUCGAAGAGGUGUCGUGAGACCAAAGGUGGUUGAUACCAUAUUAGGAAAAGUAAUUUUCCAUUCAUCAAAUGAAUAACAUUACACUUUGGGUAUUUAUACAAAAGCUAUCACAACUAACAGACAAGAAAAACCUUCAAAAUUAACUAAAUUUCCUUAGUCUAUAAGCAUUAUCUCUUGUAGGUGUAAUUACAUUUGUAUUCUUAAUACAUACUUGGUACCAUACUUUUAGAAAAAUAUAUCUUAACAAUUACAAUGAAAAACAACUAACGCAAGACAUCUUUAGAGGCGCGUGAUUAGAAGAAUGAUACCAAUUGUAUAUAAAUAAACUAAAACAUAUAGCUUACAAAUGAAGCAAAAACAUGAAACCACCCACCAAUGGGAGUACUUUGUUUCUGUUUUUGUUUUUUUUAAGUUUUAAAUUUUAAAUUCAUUCAAAACUAAAAUAUGGUGAAUUACUUUUAUCUUCUUUUGGUUCAACUGUACUUUUUGAAAUUCUUAAAAGGCAAUAGGGUUUAAUGUGAACAUUAAACAUUGUACAUCGCGCAUAAUGCAUCAUAAUUAUAAAAAUGUUUUUGUAAAUAAAAAAAUUUCAUGCCCCACCGUACCACGUCGUAAUAUAAAAAUAAAAAAAAUAAAAAAAAUUAUAAAAAAAAAACCUUUCACAUGUGUAAGUAAUAAUUCAUGUACCUCAAGUUAUUAUUAGUGAAUAUCUUUUAUCUUUUAACUAUUAAUUUUCAUACAACAAUAACAACAAAGUCUUUUCCUACUAAGUGGGGUCGGCUAUAUGAAUCCUAGAACGCCAUUGCGCUCGGUUUUGUGUCAUGUCCUCCGUUAGAUCUAAGUACUCUAAGUCUUUUCUUAGAGUCUCUUCCAAAGUUUUCCUAGAUCUUCCUUUACCCCUUCGACCUUUGACCUCUGUCCCGUAGUCGCAUCUUUUAACCGGAGCGUCAAUAGGCCUUCUUUGCACAUGUCCAAACCACCGUAACCGAUUUUCUCUCAUCUUUCCUUCAAUUUCGGCUACGAUGGUUUGGACAUGUGCAAAGAAGACCUACUGACGCUCCGGUUAGAAGAUGCGACUAUGAGACAGAGGUCCAAGGCCAAAGGGGUAGAGAAAGACCCAGGAAAAUUUUGGAAGAGACACUAAGAAAAGACUGAGUACUUGGAUCUAACGGAUGACAUGACACAGAACUAAGCGCAAUGACGUUCUAUGAUUCAUAUAGCUGACCUUACUUAAUGGGAAAAAAAUUUGUUGUUGUUGUAUGAAAAUUAAUAGUUAAAAAAUAAAAGAUAUUCACUAAUAAUAACUUGAGGUACAUGAAUUAUUACUUACACAUGUGAAAGGUUUUUAUUUUUUAUUUUUUAUAUUACGGCGUGGUACGGUGGUGCAUGAAUUUUUUUUAUUUACAACAACAUUUUUAUAAUUAUGGUGCAUUAUGUUUAGGGCUGGAAAAAAAAUACCGAAAAUCCCAAACCAUACUGAAACCGAACCGAAAAAAUACCGAACCAAAAAUCCCGAAAAUUUUGAUACCAAAACCGAACUGAUCCCGAAUAUUUUGGUUUGGGAUUCGGUCUCACACUUUGAAUAAUUCGGUAUUCCCGAACCGAACUUUGCUAAUGUAACAUAUAUAUAUAUAUAUAUAUAUGUUAGUGUGUGGUGUGGUGCUGACAAAAGUAGGAUGGGUGUGUGGUGUGGUGAAGUAGGAUGGAUGGGUCAUGGGUGCUUGUUUUCUAUACAGAACUAUGUCUGUCUCUCUCUUAUUUUCUGUCUCAUCAGUCAUUUUUCUCGUAUUCUCUCUCUACAACCCAUAAACCACCUAACCCUUUAUCUUUCACUUAUUUUCCAUAUCUUCUCUCUCGUAUUGUCUCUCUCUCUCUCUCUCUCUACAACCCAGAAACCACCCCUACUCACUUCAAAACCGAAACCACCCUUCCUUCCACUCAAUCUAAAACCGAGCUGACAUCGUACUCUCUCAUUUCAUUUUGCCUUUCUCAUAUGCCUUCACUUAGUCUCAGACUCUUUCUCCUUCUCGGAUUCGAAGCUCAGCAGCCACCCACCGUUUAACAAUCUCACUCUGACGAACUGUCUCCACUCCAGCAACCACCACAUCUCACGACUUCAUCCCCACCUCUGGUUCUCUCAAGUGAUUCUCUGUGUUUGGGAUUUCGAAUUAAGGUUAGGGUUUCGAAUUGGGGCUUAGGGUUUCAAAUUGGGGGCUCGGGUCAGGACGAGGACGCAUGUCUCUCUCUUCACUCACCCUACCAUAAAUCUUCGCUAAUUCACUAUCACUACGUCUCUUAUUUCAAUUAGGAUUUUUAAUGGAGGUUCAGAUGAUUUCAAUUUCUAUCUAGAUGAUUUCAAUUAGGAUUAUUAAUGUUCAGAGUAUAUCAAAUUUUUAUUUUUUGCUUAUAGCUAUUUCGGUUUUACUAAAGUUACGUCAUACGUACCGAAUCAUUAAAUUUCACUUAGCAUAAUACAGCUCCCAGAUAUUAGCGCACACAAAUAUAUUAUUCAUACAAAGGGAACGAAACACAAAGUUACAUGUUUAACAGAAUACAUAAAAGACAGUGCUGGACGACUGCGUAUCACACAGCUGAGGUCACACACCAGGCACUACCUUAUUAUACACCAGACACAAAGUUACACGAGUAAAGAUGAUGAUCUACUUCUUGUGGCCGCCAGGAAGCUUCUCUUUGACCUUCUCCAUUAUGCCUUUCUUUUCCUGGUGCUCUCCUAUGUUCGCUGUCCCACCAUAAGUUGCAGCAGUAGUUGACGUGUCAUGAGAAUACUGGUUAUCCUUAUGCCCACCUGGCAGCUUCUCCUUUGUCUUGUCCAUCAUACCCUUCUCCUGGUGGCGCUCUCCUUCUCCAUCCUUGCUGCCACCAAAUGGCAGCUUAUCCUUUAUCUUGUCCAUUACACCCUUCUCCUGGUGGUGCUCGCCUUCUCCUGCAUAGGUGGUCCCACCGCCGUACUGUGCACCGGUGGUCGGCUUUGCAUGCAAGUACUGGUCAUCCUUGCUAGCACCGCCUGGCAGCUUCUCCUUUACCUUGUCCGUCACACCCUUUUUCUGGUGGUGCUCUCCUUCUCCUGCAUAGGUGGUCCCACCGCCGUAAUGUGCACCGGUGGUCGGCUUUGCAUGCGAGUACUGGUCAUCCUUGCUAGCACCGCCUGGCAGCUGCUCCUUCACCUUGUCCAUCACACCCUUCUUCUGGUCGCGCUCUCCUUCUCCUGCAUAGGUGGUCCCACCACCAUAAGGUGUAGCGGUCUGCGUUCCAUGAGAGUACUGGUCAUCCUUGUUACCACCACCUGGCAGCUUCUCCUUUACCUUGUCCAUCACACCCCUUUUCUGGUGGUGCUCUCCUUCACCUGUGUAGGUCGUCCCACCGCCGUAAGGUGUAGUGGUCUGCGUUCCAUGAGUGUACUGGUCAUCUUUGUUACCACCACCUGGUAGCUUCUCCUUUAUCUUUU